GUGCGCAGGGCCCUGUGUUAAAACGCCACAUUAUGUUGUCAUUAGACGUUUCUUUUAUCCAUAUGUGCGGUGGAAUACGAUGGCCUGUUUGGGAAAGGGGCAUAGUGGGAGCGGGCGUUAUCGACUACCACAUCCCCUGGGGAUGCCCUGUUGGUUUGCAAGCUCCACAGAAGCUUCCGGGGUGAAAUCUGAAACUGGCCUCUGUACUCAGAGGGCGGGGAGAGACUGAAGAAGCCACUCUAUGUUGGCAGGUGGCAGUUUUCAUAAGCAGGAGAACUUACACAGGAGUUUCAUCUUGGGCAGCAUCAGGACAAGUGUAUCUCUGCAUCCGCCAACCACAUCUUAUAAGUUUAUACAGAGGUCUUAACCGGGUUCAGUCACCUGUACCGUCAAGGUGGCCUCAACACCAUCUCAGUAUCCCAAAACGAUCUCCUUGGAUCAUCCUCUGGGAGUGGGAAAGGCAAGCAGAACCCACAUUCCAAGGACAGGAGAGGGGAUGCGAAGCCUCCGAUUUCCCAGGUCCAGCUCACAGCACUUCCGGCAGCCGAAGGCGCAGCAUUUGUACAUGAUGAAGACAACGCCCAGCACAAUGGCCAGGAGGAAGCCGAUCACAUCCACAGAGUGGUACUGGUACCAGGUUCCAGAUAGUCGUCUGUAUCACGGAACAAAAGAUCAAAAUUGCAUUACGAAUGUGAACCUCAGGAACGAGUUUUGUCAGCACGUGGAGAGAAGUCGGGGUUCCGUGGCGCCGAUGUGUGA